UAUACAUGCAAGUCGAGCGAACAGAUGAGAAGCUUGCUUCUCUGAUGUUAGCGGCGGACGGGUGAGUAACACGUGGGUAACCUACCUAUAAGACUGGGAUAACUCCGGGAAACCGGGGCUAAUACCGGAUAAUAUUUUGAACCGCAUGGUUCAAUAGUGAAAGACGGUUUCGGCUGUCACUUAUAGAUGGACCCGCGCCGUAUUAGCUAGUUGGUAAGGUAACGGCUUACCAAGGCGACGAUACGUAGCCGACCUGAGAGGGUGAUCGGCCACACUGGAACUGAGACACGGUCCAGACUCCUACGGGAGGCAGCAGUAGGGAAUCUUCCGCAAUGGGCGAAAGCCUGACGGAGCAACGCCGCGUGAGUGAUGAAGGUCUUCGGAUCGUAAAACUCUGUUGUUAGGGAAGAACAAAUUUGUUAGUAACUGAACAAGUCUUGACGGUACCUAACCAGAAAGCCACGGCUAACUACGUGCCAGCAGCCGCGGUAAUACGUAGGUGGCAAGCGUUAUCCGGAAUUAUUGGGCGUAAAGCGCGCGUAGGCGGUUUCUUAAGUCUGAUGUGAAAGCCCACGGCUCAACCGUGGAGGGUCAUUGGAAACUGGGAAACUUGAGUGCAGAAGAGGAGAGUGGAAUUCCAUGUGUAGCGGUGAAAUGCGCAGAGAUAUGGAGGAACACCAGUGGCGAAGGCGGCUCUCUGGUCUGUAACUGACGCUGAUGUGCGAAAGCGUGGGGAUCAAACAGGAUUAGAUACCCUGGUAGUCCACGCCGUAAACGAUGAGUGCUAAGUGUUAGGGGGUUUCCGCCCCUUAGUGCUGCAGCUAACGCAUUAAGCACUCCGCCUGGGGAGUACGACCGCAAGGUUGAAACUCAAAGGAAUUGACGGGGACCCGCACAAGCGGUGGAGCAUGUGGUUUAAUUCGAAGCAACGCGAAGAACCUUACCAAAUCUUGACAUCCUUUGACCGCUCUAGAGAUAGAGUCUUCCCCUUCGGGGGACAAAGUGACAGGUGGUGCAUGGUUGUCGUCAGCUCGUGUCGUGAGAUGUUGGGUUAAGUCCCGCAACGAGCGCAACCCUUAAGCUUAGUUGCCAUCAUUAAGUUGGGCACUCUAGGUUGACUGCCGGUGACAAACCGGAGGAAGGUGGGGAUGACGUCAAAUCAUCAUGCCCCUUAUGAUUUGGGCUACACACGUGCUACAAUGGAUAAUACAAAGGGCAGCGAAUCCGCGAGGCCAAGCAAAUCCCAUAAAAUUAUUCUCAGUUCGGAUUGUAGUCUGCAACUCGACUACAUGAAGCUGGAAUCGCUAGUAAUCGUAGAUCAGCAUGCUACGGUGAAUACGUUCCCGGGUCUUGUACACACCGCCCGUCACACCACGAGAGUUUGUAACACCCGAAGCCGGUGGAGUAACCUUUUAGGAGCUAGCCGUCGA
rnacentral:rRNA from 2 species